rnacentral:misc_RNA from 1 species
GAUGAAGAACGUAGCGAAAUGCGAUAAGUAAUGUGAAUUGCAGAAUUCCGUGAAUCAUCGAAUCUUUGAACGCACAUUGCGCCCCCUGGUAUUCCGGGGGGCAUGCCUGUUCGAGCGUCAUUUCACCACUCAAGCCUCGCUUGGUAUUGGGCAACGCGGUCCGCCGCGUGCCUCAAAUCGACCGGCUGGGUCUUCUGUCCCCUAAGCGUUGUGGAAACUAUUCGCUAAAGGGUGUUCGGGAGGCUACGCCGUAAAACAACCCCAUUUCUAAGGUUGACCUCGCAUCAGGUAGGGAUACCCGCUGAACUUAAGCAUAUCAAUAAGCGGAGGA